GACGAACGCUGGCGGCGUGCUUAACACAUGCAAGUCGAACGAAGAGCGAUGGAAGCUUGCUUCUAUCAAUCUUAGUGGCGAACGGGUGAGUAACGCGUAAUCAACCUGCCCUUCAGAGGGGGACAACAGUUGGAAACGACUGCUAAUACCGCAUACGAUCUAAUCUCGGCAUCGAGGAUAGAUGAAAGGUGGCCUCUACAUGUAAGCUAUCACUGAAGGAGGGGAUUGCGUCUGAUUAGCUAGUUGGAGGGGUAACGGCCCACCAAGGCGAGGAUCAGUAGCCGGUCUGAGAGGAUGAACGGCCACAUUGGGACUGAGACACGGCCCAGACUCCUACGGGAGGCAGCAGUGGGGAAUCUUCCGCAAUGGACGAAAGUCUGACGGAGCAACGCCGCGUGAGUGAUGACGGCCUUCGGGUUGUAAAGCUCUGUUAAUCGGGACGAAAGGCCUUCUUGCGAAUAGUGAGAAGGAUUGACGGUACCGUAAUAGAAAGCCACGGCUAACUACGUG
rnacentral:rRNA from 1 species